GACAGAAGAGAGACAGUCUUACUCCUCAGCUGAGCCCGUGUCCUUGGGAAGAGAACUUCCGAGCACAGCGCUGCUGGUCCUCGCUCCACCAGAGUCCCGGUACCCCGAACCUCAGCGAGGAGCCACAGGAUGGUGCCCAGGGGAGGAGGAUGAGUGGACGCUGACCGGCUCUGGGCCAGACCAGCCCUUGUGUUCGUCCCUGCCCAGCCCCGGCAUGAGCCCCUUGGGCAGCCAGUCAGCAACCCUGAGCCUUGGUUUCUGUGGCUGUCAAAUGUGGAAAACAACGGUGGUUGAGAGAAACACAGAUGAGUGGACACGAGGGGAAGCAGGCGGUCAGUGCUCGGCAAGGAGGACUUUUCCUGCGGGGAGAGCUGGAUUCGGUGUGAACAGAGAGCAGGGCCCCGCAUGCCGCGCCGAACCUCGUGGAGUCAGAGCUCCGUAGAUCUCGUCUCAAGGAGUCAGUGUGUGAGUGUGAAAAUAAAGAGCAUGUGUAGAUACCGAA